rnacentral:rRNA from 1 species
UGCCAGCAGCCGCGGUAAUACGGAGAUGGCAACCGUUGUUCGGAAUCACUGGGCUUAAAGCGUGCGUAGGCGGCUUGGUAGGUGUGAUGUGAAAGCCCACGGCUCAACCGUGGAAUUGCGUCGCAAACCCCCAAGCUUGAGGAAGACAGGGGUGUUGGGAACUUAUGGUGGAGCGGUGAAAUGCGUUGAUAUCAUAGGGAACACCGGUGGCGAAGGCGCAACACUGGGUCUUUUCUGACGCUGAGGCACGAAAGCUAGGGUAGCGAACGGGAUUAGAUA